AUGGAGGAGUACAACCGAUACGUGAGGAUCGCAGACGGCGACCCUGUGAAGCUAGUUAGGAUUUUGGAGAUACCGUCUUGGUUUGACAACACGGACCAGCUAGCGGCGACGGUGACAUCCAUGGCCAAAUAUCUGCAACAGAGCGAAAAGGCGGCGAUACACCCAGAGGGAGUCGCGCCGGAGUACAUAGAGCUGCUCCUCUGGGCCAUAGAGCAAACAGAUUCACCAAAUAUGAUCGUGAGGGAGCGGUGGUGGGAGUAUCGAUCUCAGAUGGAGCAUCCACCAGAGAUUGAAGGAUCGAGCAUCUACAAGGUGCCGUUUGUGAGGGUGUCCUGCCAGAGUGAGUUGGUGGAGUCUUCGUCGACUGAACCCAACUGCAAGAGGAGAAAAGUUGUGGCACCCCGGCUCAGAGAAACCGGAACGCCCCGUAUUCCAGCCCAGAGAUCGAGGAGAAGUCUUCUGGAAUACGGCACUGCUUAG
rnacentral:rRNA from 1 species